UUGCUCAAGGUGAUUUAGAAAGAGAGAUUGAUGAGAGUGUUUAUGAGAGAAUAAGAGACUUAGGAACAAAGAUUUAAAGUCUGAGAGAUUAGGAGAAUAAGAGAUUAGAGAUUAGGGUUUUAGAUUCAAGAACAAGUUUAUCAUUCAUGAAGUGGAGAGGGGAAAUCCCCCUUUCUCCCUUAAGGGUUUACAAAAUCGCCACACACCUCCUUUUAUAAGGUUUACAACUUUGCAAUCUCAUAAACCUAAAUCUAAUGGAUAGAAAUGCUUGAAUAGAAAUGGAUGGACAUGAUGGAGUCUGGUGUCUUGCAAUCUUGGUGAUGGGCUCUCAUUGGUUGCUUCUCCUUGGCUUCUUAUUGGUUCGUUUGAAUCUGGUCAAAGCUCUCCUUGCUGAUUCCCCAUUGGCUGUGCAUAGGCUCCCAUGUAUCUGCCCACUUCUUUGGCUAGAUACAUGGUCCCCAACUUGUCUUUUACUUUACAGCUCAUGACAGCUAGGACAUAGCUCUCUUUCUUCAAUUCCCCAACGGUCCUGAAGUGGAUAAGGUCGCCUGAUUGCUUCAUAAGCCAGCUCCCUAACUUUGCACAGCCUUAGGUCGAUUCCGGAUGUUGUACGGCCGAUGGUACGGACCACCUGUCCGUACCUCGCCCUAUUUUCGCACUAUCAC
rnacentral:lncRNA from 1 species